GGACACCUGCCCAUUCAUUUGGCCAGACAACCUGGCGGUUGUCCUGGCUGCAGCUGGAAGCAGCCCAUCCAGACGCACUGCCCCAGGCCGAGGGCUGCGGGCAGGCUGGAGCGGGGUGUCACAGGCCCCAGCCCACCUCCCCCGUCUCUGUUACCCUUGCAGAUGGGGCCUCUUACGUAGAUACUUUAAAUGUGGGGUCACAAAUCUCCUAUGGGGGCUGUGCUUGGUGGGGCCUCUUGGAGCCAAGGGAUGUGGUCUGAGUUGCGAUGGUCUGGAGUCCGGGUUUUAUUUCUGUUCCCUUUUCAAGACUCGCUGGCAAUAGACUUGUGCAGGGUGAGGGCUGGGGGUGCCUGAGGCAGUGAGGGUGAGGUCCCGGGGAGCUUUGCAGCCUGUCUUUUCCACUGUCCUACUCCCAGGCUGGGGCUCCAUCUUUCAGACUCGCAGGCCCCCUUGGCAGGGCCUGGAGGCUGGUGAGGAACCUAGCUGGUCCCACUCUUUGAGGGGCAGGAGUAGGGGGAGGCCUCCUGGGCUCACGAUCUGUUGGAGGUGACCUGACCUCAGUCAUCCCUGGAGUGUAAGGGCUGGGGGACAGGAGAGACCAAAGUCCCAGCCUCCCUCUACCCUGCUUCCUGGCGGGCUGCUGUCUUGGGGCAGCAGCUCUGGUGAGAAGGCCUGGGCAGGCCAAGGCUGAGAAGCCGGGGAGCAAGGAGAGGGGAUCUGGACCACCCAGGGGAGCUCUGGGAUGCUGGGUCUGGGGUAAGAGACCCAGCAGUGGGCACAGCCUCGGCAUGGGGCUGGAGACCGUGGUGGGUGCAGGGUCGAGCACAGGACGGCUGAGCAGGGCGUAGGCUGGCUGGAGUGGGCUCAGAGGGGCUGCGUGGGUCCAGCCUGGCCCCAGCAGGCCUAACUCCUCAUGCUCUGUGGGCUGGCUUCUAACUUGGGGCCUCCUGGCACCGGCCUUUUCUCUGUGUCCUUAGCAUUUGCGAGAAGAGGCCGAGGGCCUCGUUCAUGGAGCCCUGGAACCGAGAAAAAUGUCCAGGCUUUACCUUCAUGAAGCUUCACACCAUCUGAUCAGCCCAAAUCCAUCCCAGCCAGCCCAAGUCCAGCGCAGCGAUCCCAGAGUGGGCGGUACAAAGGGCGAGCUGGAGCUCUCCUAUGUGCAGUGUGAGUGCAGGCCUCACCCUGCCUGGAUACAUGGUGUGAUAUGUGCAGGCCCUGCCCAAAUAUGUCCCCAGCCACGCCGGUGCUCCUGGGGAGGGCGUCCUGCAGGGCCCUGGCAUUGCCGGGAAACGUGGCCAGUUCCAAAGGAAGAGGGAGCGUGUGUGCUUGACAGCCUCCCUGGGGCCUCAGCUGCCAGAGAGUGCAAGGUGGGCUGGGGCCACCCCUCAGCUGUGACUCCUAGAGCCCAAGCUCUGUCUCCCCAGGGGGCCAGAGGGAUGCCUCCCCUGAAGGGUUGGUCCCCUUGUUCGGAAGCAGAUGGGUGGUCACCGGGUCCGGGUCGGGCAGGUCAGCCCCUCCUGGGGUUGGCAAAGCCAUCUGUCCAGGCUUCCAAGCUGGGGCCCUGGGCACAGGGAGCAGACACACCUCUGCCUCAUGGGACAGGAGUGGGCACUGCCUACUUGGCGCUCCUGAAUUUCUUCUCCUGACAGCCACCACCCUGGACUUGCUUCCCCAGGCCUCCUGCCUGUAAAUAGAAGCCCACAGACUGUGUACAGAUUUACAGAGACGCCGAGGCUGGGCCCCAGAGUUGCCAUCUAAGGGCUGAUGGCCCCAGCAUCCCCCGGGUGCCCACCAGGCAACCCAGCGCACCAGCCCCAGCGUGGCGAAUGCAUGUAAAUAUUUUUCGUAGGCAGCAGUGUGGCUCCAGAGAGCCCCCUGAAGACAGUGUCCCUCCUGUGCGUCCUUUCUCCUAUACAGAUCCCUCCAAGAACCCGGCCUGGGGUGGGGGGAGUUUGUCCUUCCCUCCCCCAGGCCUUCCCUGCCCCUUCUCUCCCUCAUAACCUGUUUAUUAACCAUACCUGUCCUGAGUUCAUGGCCAAAACUUUAAAUAUGAAAAAUCGGUGGAAAAAGAAACCAAGGCACCUGCCCCACUGUGGGUGCUCACCUGUCCCAGCCUUGUGAAGGAACUGUGGUUUUUUUGUUUUUGUUUUUUUGUUUUUUUAACACUUCCUGUGCUGUGCCCAUUUAUAAGAGGAAAUAAAAUUAAACCGAAAUG
ensembl:lncRNA